AUGUUCCAAGCCCUGCAAAAGGCGUGCAGAAGGCCAUACAGCCUUCACAGUUCACGACGCGAAGGAGAGAAGGGUCGGACCUGCAGAGAGCUCGGUGGAGCCGCAGCAGUGUCUCGCAGACACAUGCAUGUGUACAAGCACACACCAGUGCCCAACAUCACACAUGUGUCCCCCUUCCCCAAAUCAUUAUUCAUUAAAAAUGUUUGCCAGCGCGCAUCCAGGCUCCGAGCCGAGGGCGCAGCUGCUUGUGAAAACAAAAAAAAUGAAAAAAAUGAUAAACAUAAAAAAGGAACAGAACGUAAUAAGACGGUGCCUGGUGGGCAUGCGCUCCGGUGCGCAACCCACCACGCCCGUUCGGGCCGGCACGACAGCGGAACCAGCGACGCUGGGACCGCUGGCUGGCCGGGCUCAACAGUGGCGGACAUGUGGAGCGUCGGAUUGGGUUAUAAAAACUGUAACCGCCGGCUACAGGCUCCAAUUUGCGUCCACUCCUCCCCGUUUCAACGGGAUACUGCAGUCGCAGGCCCGUGGAGAGAAUGCUCAGGUUCUACAGGAGGAAAUCACCUCUCUAAGAAACAAAAGGGCAAUUCGGGUAGUGCCACCGGAGAAAAACCAAAGCGGUUUUUACUCGAGGUACUUUCUAGUCCCGAAGAAGGGAGGGGGCCUCCGGCCGAUAUUAGAUUUACGCGCUCUGAACAGAUACAUGAGACAGUACAAUUUCAGGAUGCUGACACACGCCGCUCUCAUACGCUUCGUGCGCCCGGGAGGCUGGUUCACAAGCAUAGAUCUGAGGGACGCUUAUUUCCAUAUCGCCAUUCAUCCCCCUCACAGGAAAUAUCUCAGGUUCGCCUUCCAGGGCGUAACGUACGAGUAUUUGGUUCUCCCGUUCGGCCUUUCGUUAAGUCCACGGGUGUUUGUGAAAUGCACGGAGGCUGCCAUCGCGUCCCUCAGGUUGAAGGGAAUGCGUUUGGCAACAUACAUAGACGACUGGCUUCUAGCCACACAGUCGCCCCAGGAGGCUCAGGCGCAGACCAGCGUGCUCAUAUCGCACCUAGUGUCCCUGGGUUUCACAAUAAACGUGAAAAAGAGUGUUUUGGUCCCUACUCAAAGCAUAACGUUCAUAGGCUUGUGCCUCGAUUCAGUGACGUUCAAAGCACGUCUAUCCGCGGAGAGAGUGGAAGCCUUUCAGGCUUGUCUGGCACUUUUUCGCAGGGGGACGAUGUUGACGUUCAGAACGUGCCUCAGACUAUUGGGUCUGAUGGCGUCGGCGCUGGUAGUAGUCCCACUUGGCCGCCUCCAUAUGAGGCCGGUUCAGCGAUGGGUUGCAUCACUCAGACUGAACCCGACGUGCCAUGGCCAUCGCCGGGUUUUGAUCUCCAUGGCGUGCGUCUCGGCGCUGCGCCCUUGGGGACGCGCGUACUUUCUGACUACAGGCGUUACCAUGGGAACUGUCCUGGCGAGGAAGGUCCUUUCAACGGA
rnacentral:lncRNA from 1 species